rnacentral:rRNA from 1 species
UACGGGGGGGCAAGCGUUGUUCGGAAUCACUGGGCAUAAAGGGCGCGUAGGCGGUCUUGUAAGUCGGAUGUGAAAGACCUUGGCUCAACCAAGGAAUGGCAUCCGAUACUGCGAGGCUUGAGGCCGAGAGGGGCAAGCGGAACUCCUGGUGGAGCGGUGAAAUGCGUAGAUAUCAGGAGGAACACCGGUGGCGAAGGCGGCUUGCUGGAUCGGUUCUGACGCUGAUGUGCGAAAGCUAGGGGAGCAAACGGG